rnacentral:rRNA from 1 species
UCCUGGCUCAGAACGAACGCUGGCGGCAGGCUUAACACAUGCAAGUCGAACGCCCCGCAAGGGGAGUGGCAGACGGGUGAGUAACGCGUGGGAACAUACCCUUUCCUGCGGAAUAGCUCCGGGAAACUGGAAUUAAUACCGCAUACGCCCUACGGGGGAAAGAUUUAUCGGGAGGAUUGGGCCCGCGUUGGAUUAGCUAGUUGGUGGGGUAAAGGCCUACCAAGGCGACGAUCCAUAGCUGGUCUGAGAGGAUGAUCAGCCACAUUGGGACUGAGACACGGCCCAAACUCCUACGGGAGGCAGCAGUGGGGAAUAUUGGACAAUGGGCGCAAGCCUGAUCCAGCCAUGCCGCGUGAGUGAUGAAGGCCUUAGGGUUGUAAAGCUCUUUCACCGAUGAAGAUAAUGACGGUAGUCGGAGAAGAAGCCCCGGCUAACUUCGUGCCAGCAGCCGCGGUAAUACGAAGGGGGCUAGCGUUGUUCGGAAUUACUGGGCGUAAAGCGCACGUAGGCGGAUAUUUAAGUCAGGGGUGAAAUCCCGCAGCUCAACUGCGGAACUGCCUUUGAUACUGGGUAUCUUGAGUAUGGAAGAGGUAAGUGGAAUUCCGAGUGUAGAGGUGAAAUUCGUAGAUAUU